CCGCUUUCGCUUUCUGCCUCGCAGCCCUCGGGAUGGAGGUGAGAAGACGGCGGUGACGCGCGCCCGCGCUGCCCCCUGAACCCCCCGCAGCCCACAGCGCUCCCUGCCCCCCUCCCCCGUGGCAGCGGGCCUUGCCGUCGAGUGACAGCGGCCUGGGGGGGCAGGGGGGGCGGGGGCGGCCGGACCAGCGAUGCCGGCGGGCAUGACGAAGCAUGGCUCCCGCUCCACCAGCUCGCUGCCGCCCGAGCCCAUGGAGAUUGUGCGCAGCAAGGCGUGCUCACGGCGCGUCCGCCUCAACGUCGGGGGGCUGGCGCACGAGGUGCUCUGGCGCACCCUGGACCGCCUGCCCCGCACGCGGCUGGGCAAGCUCCGCGACUGCAACACGCACGACUCCCUGCUCGAGGUGUGCGACGACUACAGCCUCGACGACAACGAGUACUUCUUUGACCGCCACCCGGGCGCCUUCACCUCUAUCCUCAACUUCUACCGCACCGGGCGACUGCAUAUGAUGGAGGAGAUGUGCGCGCUCAGCUUCAGCCAAGAGCUCGACUACUGGGGCAUCGACGAGAUCUACCUGGAGUCCUGCUGCCAGGCCCGCUACCACCAGAAGAAGGAACAGAUGAACGAGGAGCUUAAGCGCGAGGCUGAGACCCUACGGGAAAGGGAGGGCGAAGAGUUCGAUAACACGUGCUGCGCAGAGAAGAGGAAAAAACUCUGGGACCUGCUGGAGAAGCCAAAUUCCUCCGUGGCUGCUAAG